rnacentral:rRNA from 2 species
UAGGUUAACGAGGCGAACCGGGGGAACUGAAACAUCUAAGUACCCCGAGGAAAAGAAAUCAACCGAGAUUCCCCCAGUAGCGGCGAGCGAACGGGGAGCAGCCCGGAGUCUGAAUCAGCUUGUGUGUUAGUGGAACGGUCUGGAAAGUCCGACGGUACAGGGUGAUAGUCCCGUACACGAAAAUGCACAUGCUGUGAACUCGAAGAGUAGGGCGGGACACGUGGUAUCCUGUCUGAAUAUGGGGGGACCAUCCUCCAAGGCUAAAUACUCCUGACUGACCGAUAGUGAACCAGUACCGUGAGGGAAAGGCGAAAAGAACCCCGGCGAGGGGAGUGAAAAAGAACCUGAAACCGUGUACGUACAAGCAGUGGGAGCCUCUUUAUGGGGUGACUGCGUACCUUUUGUAUAAUGGGUCAGCGACUUAUAUUCUGUAGCAAGGUUAACCGUAUAGGGGAGCCGAAGGGAAACCGAGUCUUAACUGGGCGUUAAGUUGCAGGGUAUAGACCCGAAACCCGGUGAUCUAGCCAUGGGCAGGUUGAAGGUUGGGUAACACUAACUGGAGGACCGAACCGACUAAUGUUGAAAAAUUAGCGGAUGACCUGUGGCUGGGGGUGAAAGGCCAAUCAAACCGGGAGAUAGCUGGUUCUCCCCGAAAGCUAUUUAGGUAGCGCCUCGUGAACUCAUCUUCGGGGGUAGAGCACUGUUUCGGCUAGGGGGCCAUCCCGGCUUACCAACCCGAUGCAAACUACGAAUACCGAAGAAUGUUAUCACGGGAGACACACGGCGGGUGCUAACGUCCGUCGUGAAGAGGGAAACAACCCAGACCGCCAGCUAAGGUCCCAAAGUCAUGGUUAAGUGGGAAACGAUGUGGGAAGGCACAGACAGCCAGGAUGUUGGCUUAGAAGCAGCCAUCAUUUAAAGAAAGCGUAAUAGCUCACUGGUCGAGUCGGCCUGCGCGGAAGAUGUAACGGGGCUAAACCAUGCACCGAAGCUGCGGCAGCGACACUAUGUGUUGUUGGGUAGGGGAGCGUUCUGUAAGCCGUUGAAGGUGUGCUGUGAGGCAUGCUGGAGGUAUCAGAAGUGCGAAUGCUGACAUAAGUAACGAUAAAGCGGGUGAAAAGCCCGCUCGCCGGAAGACCAAGGGUUCCUGUCCAACGUUAAUCGGGGCAGGGUGAGUCGACCCCUAAGGCGAGGCCGAAAGGCGUAGUCGAUGGGAAACAGGUUAAUAUUCCUGUACUUGGUGUUACUGCGAAGGGGGGACGGAGAAGGCUAUGUCAGCCGGGCGACGGUUGUCCCGGUUUAAGCAUGUAGGCGGAGGUUCCAGGUAAAUCCGGUACCUUUUAACGCUGAGGUGUGAUGACGAGGCACUACGGUGCUGAAGUGAUAAAUGCCCUGCUUCCAGGAAAAGCCUCUAAGCAUCAGGUAACACGAAAUCGUACCCCAAACCGACACAGGUGGUCAGGUAGAGAAUACCAAGGCGCUUGAGAGAACUCGGGUGAAGGAACUAGGCAAAAUGGUGCCGUAACUUCGGGAGAAGGCACGCUGAUGUGUAGGUGAAGCCCCUGCGGGCGGAGCUGAAAUCAGUCGAAGAUACCAGCUGGCUGCAACUGUUUAUUAAAAACACAGCACUGUGCAAACACGAAAGUGGACGUAUACGGUGUGACGCCUGCCCGGUGCCGGAAGGUUAAUUGAUGGGGUUAGCGGCAACGCGAAGCUCUUGAUCGAAGCCCCGGUAAACGGCGGCCGUAACUAUAACGGUCCUAAGGUAGCGAAAUUCCUUGUCGGGUAAGUUCCGACCUGCACGAAUGGCGUAAUGAUGGCCAGGCUGUCUCCACCCGAGACUCAGUGAAAUUGAACUCGCUGUGAAGAUGCAGUGUACCCGCGGCAAGACGGAAAGACCCCGUGAACCUUUACUAUAGCUUGACACUGAACACUGGUCCUUGAUGUGUAGGAUAGGUGGGAGGCUUUGAAGCGUGGACGCCAGUCUGCGUGGAGCCAUCCUUGAAAUACCACCCUUUAAUGGCUGGUGUUCUAACGUAGACCCGUGAUCCGGGUUGCGGACAGUGUCUGGUGGGUAGUUUGACUGGGGCGGUCUCCUCCCAAAGAGUAACGGAGGAGCACGAAGGUUGGCUAAUCCUGGUCGGACAUCAGGAGGUUAGUGUAAUGGCAUAAGCCAGCUUGACUGCGAGCGUGACGGCGCGAGCAGGUGCGAAAGCAGGUCAUAGUGAUCCGGUGGUUCUGAAUGGAAGGGCCAUCGCUCAACGGAUAAAAGGUACUCCGGGGAUAACAGGCUGAUACCGCCCAAGAGUUCAUAUCGACGGCGGUGUUUGGCACCUCGAUGUCGGCUCAUCACAUCCUGGGGCUGAAGUAGGUCCCAAGGGUAUGGCUGUUCGCCAUUUAAAGUGGUACGCGAGCUGGGUUUAGAACGUCGUGAGACAGUUCGGUCCCUAUCUGCCGUGGGCGCUGGAGAAUUGAGGGGGGCUGCUCCUAGUACGAGAGGACCGGAGUGGACGCAUCACUGGUGUUCGGGUUGUCAUGCCAAUGGCACUGCCCGGUAGCUAAAUGCGGAAGAGAUAAGUGCUGAAAGCAUCUAAGCACGAAACUUGCCCCGAGAUGAGUUCUCCCUGAGACCUUGAGUCUCCUGAAGGAACGUUGAAGACGACGACGUUGAUAGGUCGGGUGUGUAAGCGCAGCGAUGCGUUGAGCUAACCGAUACUAAUGAACCGUGAGGCUUAACCUU